AGAGCAAGAGGAGUUUAAAGCCAAACUGUCUCCAGAGCUGGCUGAGCGAUAUAGAAAUGUCUUCACAAAUAAAGCAGUAGCAGUGACCUGCACUGGAAUGUCUCAAAUUGGACUUUUUAAGGAAAGUAGAGUAAAGGAUCUGCCUGUCAUCAUGAUGCCCAUGGAAGUCACAGACAAUGUUGGGCAGAGGAUUGGAACUAUACAACCUUUGGAUAUUGUUAUGGAAGUGGAUACCACAACAAGGAUUGUUAGAGCUGAAGACUGAAUCCGGAGCUGAAUACUAUUGCUAUGCACAGCAUACACACCGGAGAGCUACUGCAAAAAUAGUAGAAUGAUAGUAUGGCA